UUUAUUAUACCGUUGGUUAAAGGUUAAGACAUCUGAUUAAAGUCCGGAUGCACCAUAAUGAAAAAUAUUUGAGGAUAAGACGAUAGAUUCAAGUUCUAUUGCACCAAAAGGGUAAGACAUCAAUUUGAGUUUUGAUGCACUGUGAUUGGGUUCAAGUCCCAUAGAAUUAUGGCGUAAAACGCCUUAUAUGGAUAAGACAUUGAGUUCGAGUCAAUGCACCAUAAUGAUGAUAUAAUGAUGACUAAGGCUUUGAUGAAAAAUCUUGAAAUUCGUCCUAUUGAAUUUGCUUCAUUCCUUGAAAAGAAUGUGGUAGCAACAUGUAAUAAUUCUGAAAUCCGUCUGUUAACUUUCUCCAUUCAAUCAUAUGAAUGUGGUAGCAGUGAAUGUUACUCUGAAAGAUGACAAAUGAUUAAUGAUAUGAAUAAGGGCUUGGAAUCGGGCUAGGAGCAGCUAUUGAAUUUGUCCAGUCGAAAGGGAAAGGCGAUGACUAUCAGUUCAGGGACAUAAUUAUAAUAGUCAUCAUUGUGGUAAUGAUAAAAGGAAGAACACUAUGAGUUCUUCAAAUAGUCCUUCAAAAUGUGAAGGCAAUUUUUAUUAUCAAAAUGGUAUGAAAGGUCAUUAGACUUGUGAAUGUUGUCAACCCAAUAAUUUGACAAAUUUAUAAAUCCUCUAUCAUGAUACAAGAAGAUAAAGUGAUGGUACACUUAAUCUUUCAAAGUGAUGUUGAGGUGUGUCAUGGAAAUAUGAUGAAUUUUAAGGCCAUGACAAUGUGCUUAUAAUGCAAAUUUAUGAGGUACAUAUAAAUAAUUAGUCCAAUCCUUGAAGAGAAUGUGACUUGUAAUGAGUAUCGUGAAUGCUCGACCAUUCUAUAAGAGAAUGAG
rnacentral:lncRNA from 1 species